UUUCUCUUCUCUCUCAUUCCACUAUUCUUUAUCUCUUGCUCUGGCGACUCGCGACCCUCCCCUGGAUCCCCUCUCAGGAAAUCACUCUCCGCCAAGAUCAAAGCAGAUCUAUCCCUACUGCACCGAAUCCUGCCCCAGGAACUGGUUUGGGAUGGUCUUCUACCUUCCCGUCUUCACAACACAGCUGUGCAACAUGACUCCAGGUGUAGAAAAUCCUUUUUUAUGACUGCACCUCUGGGAAUUCUUCAGUCAAACUUUGCCCUUUCCUAUUUUGCUUGUCAGUGCAGCUGUAGGAAUUCUUCAGUGAAUCUUUUUGUUUGUGACAGCAGCUGUAGGAAUUCCAUUUUGAUGUUACCUGUUAUAGGAUUAUUAUUUUUGGCAGCCACAACAUAAGUUUUCCUGCGAAUCCGGAUCCAUCCAUAUAACUUCUAGCACUAUCAUGUAUACACUAAGUGCAUGUGCAUCGCAGCUGCACAAAUGUGGCUAAACUAGUGCAACAUUUUUUACAUAUGAAAUUCUGGAUUUCAAAUAGUAUCAAUGCUAGCUCGAAGGUGAUUCAACCACAACAGAGCAUUUUUACUUUCAGUGCAUCAUUUUCACCUAACAACAUCUGGCAAUUAAAAAUAUAAUAGGGGAUGGAUGUGUCUUGGCAGCCAUAAGAAAAACGCCACUCUCUUUUUGUUAUCUACCCCCCUACUGUUGUGAUGAUGCCCAGUGGCCUUGCAGCUGCAUUGCCCUCUCAGUAUUUGCUGAACAGCUUUCACUUAAUUGCUUAACAUUAUAACAUAGUUAAAAUAUCAAAAUUGAAUUGCAAUGGACGAGUCUUGCUGAUAGAGCCAUUGGCAAUAUACAAUAUGUUUUUUUGGGCCAUGACAAUGCUACUGUUCUGUUCUUCUUAUCAGCGUUGUCUGUGUAUAAUUUAUUCCUGAUACGCUUCAUUUUAGAACUGUACAUGGUAAAAUGGAUUUAGGAUGAUUUGUUUCCUGAUAGAGUGAUAGUCAUGGGAUUAUCCUUGGUAUGCUACACUGUUACUGUUAUGUCAACAUGAAGCCUAUGAUUUUUGUGUUGUUCUGUGCAGAUGAGUUAUGUAGAUCUAAGCUUCCUCAACAAGAGGAGCAACCAGCAGCAGCCUGACACUCAAUUAAUUAAGUGAGCGAAAUGCACCAAAGAGAUUAAAAGUAAGCACAAAAAUCAUAUCCCCCAAAAGGCCAAAACUAUAUUUACUUCAACUGUUCUUUCUCCCCUAAGUACAACACUUGAACUAUAACAUGUUUUGAUUUUUUACAAAUGUAAUUCAUUCUUUCUAUCCACCAGGUCACUGAAAUUAACCAUACCAGUCUACUAAUCAAGUUUAUAUCAGAACUAAAUGAGGAGCAGUAGCUGAUAGUUCGUAAACUUGAGUUCGGUUCUUUGCUUCAUAUCUCAUGCGACUGCAUAUUGGAUGACAUAUUUGAAUGGUUAGAAGCAGUUCAACACAACUACAUGCAGAAUUGAACUAAGGAAUGGUUUCAAGUUCCAUUUCACCCAAUCUGCUGUCCACAAAAUCCUAGGCAUUCCAUGUGGGGGUUUUCCAAUACAAACAAAACCUACCAAACAAACUAUUGAUUUCAUGAAUACAUUUCUUGAAACAACAAAACCAACCCCAGAACAUUUGCUCUCAAUGUUGUCUUUGCAAAGGUUGACCACCCUCACCAUCUACGAUUCGUCGCAUUCCUCAGUGGCUUUGCUCAUGAGAUUGUGUUGUUUGAUGGCGAAUUCUCUGGUAAUGAGAAACUGCUCCAGUAUGUCGUCGCGGUGAAGGCCAAGGAAAACUGGAUGUGUGCUUAGAGCUGGAGGAAUCGCUGUUUUGGUGGACUUUUGAGCAAGAAGCUGUUGGGGCUGUUAGGUCUCCUGACGAUUCGGUGUUGAAGUAUGGCGAGUUCGAUGUGAGGGUGCUUUUUGCUCCCAAGGACUUCACUGUGGUUGGCUGAAACCUGAAGGGAAGUGACGAAGAUGCCCCCAUUCUAUAAUAUCCGUGAUUUAUCUGGUCGGAAUUUGAAUUUUCUUUGUAAGCCCUCAUUUGGCAGAACAGCAGACAUUUGAGGACUUACUCUGUGGUUUAAAUAUGUUCAACUGCAACAGAAGUUCGAGGCCUGACAUGUAUGGUCUCUAAAUAAUGUUAAAACUGCUUAUAUGUGUGCAAAACUGUUAGAGAGAUGGUGGUUUGUAGUA